UACGGGGGGGGGCAAGCGUUGUUCGGAAUUACUGGGCGUAAAGGGCUCGUAGGCGGCCAACUAAGUCAUACGUGAAAUCCCUCAGCUUAACUGGGGAACUGCGUGUGAUACUGGGUGGCUUGGAUUUGGGAGAGGGAUGCGGAAUUCCUGGUGUAGCGGUGAAAUGCGUAGAUAUCAGGAGGAAUACCGGUGGCGAAAGCGACUCUCUGGACGGCAACUGACGCUGAGGCACGAAAGCGUGGGGAGCAAACAGG
rnacentral:rRNA from 1 species